GAGAUGAUGCACAAGGAGGUUGCCGCCGGUCAGAGGAGGAGGGCGAGAAGGCUGGAGAGCCGAGGCAGAGGCUUACAGGGAAGAGAAGAAACGACACCUUAUACAUACAGGAUACCCGCUCCCAGGUGCCAGGAGGACAGCCGGGGCUGACGGAGGAUAAGAGUGUCGAGGAAGUUAACACAUGAAGUAAUCAUAUAAUUCUACCAUGACUUAGUGCUGCACAUAUGUUGAGGUAUGCUCGGAUCACUUAUAGAGAUCUGGAGAGGAAAGUUUGUUCCUUCCUUACAAGAGCCAUAUAAACAAUAAGGAAAAGCUCUUUCCUAGCAUAAGGUGAAUCUUGUAUAGUUUAAUUUGGGUAUAUUUUCUUAUAAAUGUGUAUUGUUGCAUACAUAAAUUGUCUCAGUUAGACGAACAAUUUUUUAUUUAGCGGUGACAUACUUGGGACACCAAGAAUAGGAUUGCGGCGGGGUUGGCCAAAGGACUGCACUACUUGCACUUUUUGUACAGCCCAGGAUACCAUAUUGCAACCUAAGGCCAUUGAGCAAAUAAAGUUAGUGCGAAGAAGACACGCGUCAGGGAGGAAGUAGGGCAUGCACAAUGGAAUGGGGAUAUAUUUAGGAUGUGAUGAAAAACUGCAUGCUAUAGCAGAGAGACUUGGAUUGGAGGCAAGUCGAGUUAUGGGAGGAGAUGAGAUGACGAAGACAAGACGAAGACUUGUGGCGGAAAAAACACACGACAUGAUUUAGACAACAAGGGUGCCAUUCCUCCUCACUGCGCCACAUCGGCGUGCUCGAUGUUGACGAUGAGGGUGCCGUCUCUCCACCUCGUUGUGCCACACCAUUGUGCCUCAUGUAAACGAUGCGUGCGUCAUCCCUCCUCGCCGCGUCACACCUUUGUGCCAGUUGUAGAGACGAGAGCGCCGUCAGCAGCGAGCCUUUCUGCACCGAACAAUAGGAUCCAGCUGACCAGGAUGCCUGAUUGGCGAGCGCAUGGGCUCCAUGCUGAUGUGGUGGCGGGAGGGGUUGCCAUCAGAGAAGGAGGCCAACGAUGCCAUAGCGGGGAGAGGAGGAUGUGGGCGACACCAUUGAGAGAAGGUAGGCUAUGGGGACGACAUGGUACAGGCUCGACCGGGGGAGGGGGGGAUGGCAGGGAUAGGAUGGGUCAACCGAUGCCAUGAAAGGGUGAAGACGAUUCGCCACACCAACGAUGGAAGGGAGGCGGCGGGGAAAGGCGCGGACGCGCGGAUGUGAGGAGAGAGAGUUCUGCGUGAAGCCAAAUAUUCAAAUGUUGGCAACACUGUUUGAUAGCAUGCUUGGGGUGACUUGUUAAGUAAGGUCUCUUGUCCAUUGUUUCAUGAUUUAUGGUUUCUAAUAUAUACCACUUGUGGAUUUAUUUUCUAUAUGCAUUCAUCGACCGAUACAUAUUGUACUUCAGCAACAAACUUGUACACCGUGUGUAUAUUUUAGACCCUAUCCAUACAUCAUAGUCGCCAGAGAUUAAAACUCUGAGUCAUUUAGUGAAAUUACAAGAUUUUGCGAGGCAAUUCAACGAUGCACUCAAAAUUGCGCA